AUGGCGGAGCACCGCCUGCCGACAACCGGCCCGCCCCCCGCGGCCGGGCCCCGCCGCCAUUCCCGACGGCCGCGGCGCCGUUGCCGCCUGCUCCUCCCCCCGACCUUCGCCCUGGCGCUCCUCUCCCUCGCCUACCUCUCCUUCUCCUCCCACGCCAGCCUCCCCUUCCACACGAUACACCAAGGUCCGGCCAACAGGGAGAAUGUUGGAAAGGGAAUGGAUAAGAGAGACAAACGCAAUACCACUGUCAAGGAAAAUAUCUCUAUGACUAUAGACAAGUCAGAACCCUUCAUCAAAGGAAGAAAGAAAAAGCAUUAUGGGCCCUGUGAAAUUGAGUUUUUGCCGUCGGUUGACAAUCUUGUGGAGCCUGCUGACUACAGCAAUUUUACACAGUUCUUGUUGAAGUAUAUCUUGAAUGAGGGACAUUUGAUUGGUAAUGGAUUUUUUGAACCAUUGUUUGCUGGGCACCAGAGUCUUCGGGAAAGAGAGGAAACAUAUUAUGCAAAAAACCAAAGUCUUCACUGUGGUUUUGUAGAUGGUCCAGAGGGUUACCCCAGUAGUGGAUUUGAUUUGGAUGAACAUGACAGGGCUUAUAUGGCUACCUGCCGUGUGGUGGUGUCAUCAUGCAUUUUUGGAGGCUCUGAUUACUUAAGGAGACCAACUAAAAGCAGAAUUGGCUCAUACUCUAAGAAGAAUGUGUGCUUCAUCAUGUUCCUGGAUGAGCUAACGUUGACAACCCUUUCCUCUGAAGGACACGUCCCUGAUGAAAAUGGAUCCAUUGGUCUUUGGAGAAUUGUUGUAGUUAAGAAUUUACCCUACAAAGAUAUGCGGAGAGCAGGAAAGGUGCCAAAACUUCUGGCUCACCAACUCUUCCCAUCUGCCUUGUACUCCAUCUGGUUGGAUAGCAAAUUGCGUCUUCAUGCUGAUCCAAUGCUUAUCAUUGAGUAUUUCUUAUGGAGAAAGAAAGCAGAGUACGCCAUUUCAGUGCACUAUGAUCGCACCUGUGUCUGGGAGGAGGUGCUUCAGAACAAGCGCUUAAACAAGUACAAUCACACUGCUAUCGAUGAGCAAUUUUACUUUUAUCAGUCUGACGGCCUUGUGAAGUUUAAUGCCUCUGGCCACGAUCCUGUUCUACCAAGUUAUGUGCCCAAAGGAUCUUUCAUCGUGCGUGCCCAUACACCAAUGUCUAAUUUAUUUUCAUGCCUUUGGUUCAAUGAGGUCAACCGUUUCACUUCACGUGAUCAAUUGAGUUUUACAUACACUUACUUGAAGCUCAGGAGAAUGAACGCUGGAAGAUAUUUUCAACUAAAUAUGUUUAAGGACUGUGAAAGAAGAGCAGUAGCUAAACUGUUCCAUCACCGAACUAAUGGAUCUACAGAUCCACCCCCAACAAACCUUCGUACGGAUAAAAAUCAUUCAUCGAUGCCAAGCUAA
rnacentral:rRNA from 1 species